rnacentral:rRNA from 1 species
GACGGUGGAGGCACGUGGUUUAAUUCGAUGCAAACCGAAGAACCUUACCUGGGUUUGGACAUGUGCGUGUUACUGAGGUGAAAGCCGAGGGACCAUAUCUUCGGAUGUGGAGCGUACACAGGUGCUGCAUGGCUGUCGUCAGCUCGUGCCGUGAGAUGUUGGGUUAAGUCCCGCAACGAGCGCAACCCCUGCAUUCAGUUGCCAACGGUAAGGCCGGGCACUCUGGAUGGACUGCCGGCGACAAGCCGGAGGAAGGUGGGAUGACGUCAAGUCAUCAUGGCCCUUAUGUCCAGGGCGACACACGUGCUACAAUGGCCGGCACAGCGGGAAGCGAGGGGGCGACCUUGAGCGGAUCCCUCAAAGCCGGUCUCAGUUCGGAUUGCAGUCUGCAACUCGACUGCAUGAAGUUGGAAUCGCUAGUAAUCGUGGAUCAGCCAAGCCGCGGUGAAUACGUUCCCGGGCCUU